GAGUUUGAUCCUGGCUCAGAUUGAACGCUGGCGGCGUGCUCUACACAUGCAAGUCGAACGAGAAAGGGACUUCGGUCCUGAGUAGAGUGGCGCACGGGUGAGUAACGCGUAGGUAAUCUACCUCUGCAUCUGGGAUAACACUUCGAAAGGGGUGCUAAUACCGGAUACACUUAUGGGUCGCAAGACCUAUAAGGAAAGGAGACGAUCCGCAAGGAGUUUCUGUGUAGAAAUGAGCCUGCGUCCCAUUAGCUAGUUGGCAGGGUAAGAGCCUACCAAGGCGACGAUGGGUAGCGGGUCUGAGAGGAUGAUCCGCCACACUGGAACUGAAACACGGACCAGACUCCUACGGGAGGCAGCAGUGAGGAAUAUUGGACAAUGGGCGCAAGCCUGAUCCAGCGACGCCGCGUGAGUGAUGAAGGCCUUUGGGUCGUAAAGCUCUGUCAGCAGGGAAGAACGGCCGUGUGGUUAAUACCCAUGCGGAUUGACGGUACCUGCAGAGGAAGCACCGGCUAACUCCGUGCCAGCAGCCGCGGUAAUACGGAGGGUGCGAGCGUUAAUCGGAAUUACUGGGCGUAAAGGGCGCGUAGGCGGCUGAUCAUGUCAGGUGUGAAAGCCCACGGCUUAACCGUGUGAAGUGCAUCUGAAACUGGUCGGCUU
rnacentral:rRNA from 1 species